rnacentral:rRNA from 1 species
AUGGGCCCAACUAGGCCGGAUGGGACCAGAGGGGGGAAAUCUGCCACCGACGAAAGAGGGGGAGGAGAGGCAGGCCCACUGGGCAACGGCAAACCGCAAGGCCCAUCAAGCCCACCUGAGGGAACGUCCCGCGGCCCGAUGGCCACCGCGGAGAAAUCGAGAUCUAGGUUACACGAAGCCACCAGCGACCUCGCUGUCGCCGCCGCCCGCGACGAGGCCGCCGCAGAGGCUGCAGGAGAGGGGGAUGGGAGGCCACCAAGCUCCCCAUCAGGUGCACUGCCCAGGACAACGAGAUCAGGUGACGCAACAGCAAACUUACCAGACUUACGCCGCCGCCGAGAGAUCCGAAUCCCACCAUCGACCGACGAGGACGCGGCCACCGACCGGCCCCGGCCACCAGGAGCGAACUUGCGGGGACGAGGAGCGGCGGAAGGCACCACCACCCCCCAGCACAAGGCACGGGACCACAGGGGGAAGGGACCGACGACCGCGAAUCCUCCUCAUCAGACGCGAGGGCCCAGAAACGAGAUCCGAGCACCGGCAGCGGUGAAGACAGAGGGGAGAACCCCACCCGCGGGGAGCCAGGGAAGGGGAGAGAGAGAGCACAUGCAAGCGGAGAGGGGGAUGACCGGGCACCGGCCAGCGGGUCAGGGCGGGGAGCGGGACGGCUAG